rnacentral:rRNA from 1 species
UACGGAGGAUGCGAGCGUUAUCCGGAUUUAUUGGGUUUAAAGGGUGCGCAGGCGGGGGAUUAAGUCGGCGGUGAAAUUUUGCAGCUCAACUGUAAAAGUGCCUUCGAAACUGGUUUCCUUGAGUGUAGAUGAAGUAGGCGGAAUUUGUGGUGUAGCGGUGAAAUGCAUAGAUAUCACGAGGAACUCCGAUUGCGCAGGCAGCUUACUAAACUACUACUGACGCUCAGGCACGAAGGCGUGGGGAUCAAACAGGAUUAGAUACCCCUGUAGU